rnacentral:rRNA from 1 species
UGCUAAUCUGCGAUAAGCGUCGGUAAGGUGAUAUGAACCGUUAUAACCGGCGAUUUCCGAAUGGGGAAACCCAGUGUGUUUCGACACACUAUCAUUAACUGAAUCCAUAGGUUAAUGAGGCGAACCGGGGGAACUGAAACAUCUAAGUACCCCGAGGAAAAGAAAUCAACCGAGAUUCCCCCAGUAGCGGCGAGCGAACGGGGAGCAGCCCAGAGCCUGAAUCAGUGUGUGUGUUAGUGGAAGCGUCUGGAAAGGCGUGCGAUACAGGGUGACAGCCCCGUACACAAAAAUGCACAUGCUGUGAGCUCGAUGAGUAGGGCGGGACACGUGGUAUCCUGUCUGAAUAUGGGGGGACCAUCCUCCAAGGCUAAAUACUCCUGACUGACCGAUAGUGAACCAGUACCGUGAGGGAAAGGCGAAAAGAACCCCGGCGAGGGGAGUGAAAAAGAACCUGAAACCGUGUACGUACAAGCAGUGGGAGCACGCUUAGGCGUGUGACUGCGUACCUUUUGUAUAAUGGGUCAGCGACUUAUAUUCUGUAGCAAGGUUAACCGAAUAGGGGAGCCGAAGGGAAACCGAGUCUUAACUGGGCGUUAAGUUGCAGGGUAUAGACCCGAAACCCGGUGAUCUAGCCAUGGGCAGGUUGAAGGUUGGGUAACACUAACUGGAGGACCGAACCGACUAAUGUUGAAAAAUUAGCGGAUGACUUGUGGCUGGGGGUGAAAGGCCAAUCAAACCGGGAGAUAGCUGGUUCUCCCCGAAAGCUAUUUAGGUAGCGCCUCGUGAAUUCAUCUCCGGGGGUAGAGCACUGUUUCGGCAAGGGGGUCAUCCCGACUUACCAACCCGAUGCAAACUGCGAAUACCGGAGAAUGUUAUCACGGGAGACACACGGCGGGUGCUAACGUCCGUCGUGAAGAGGGAAACAACCCAGACCGCCAGCUAAGGUCCCAAAGUCAUGGUUAAGUGGGAAACGAUGUGGGAAGGCCCAGACAGCCAGGAUGUUGGCUUAGAAGCAGCCAUCAUUUAAAGAAAGCGUAAUAGCUCACUGGUCGAGUCGGCCUGCGCGGAAGAUGUAACGGGGCUAAAC